CCUACGGGUGGCUGCAGUGGGGAAUAUUGGACAAUGGGCGAAAGCCUGAUCCAGCCAUGCCGCGUGUGUGAAGAAGGCCUUCGGGUUGUAAAGCACUUUCAGUGGGGAAGAAAGCCUUGGGGCUAAUACCCUCGAGGAAGGACAUCACCCACAGAAGAAGCACCGGCUGAACUCCGUGCCAGCAGCCGCGGUAAUACGGAGGGUGCGAGCGUUAAUCGGAAUUACUGGGCGUAAAGCGCGCGUAGGCGGUCUGAUAAGCCGGUUGUGAAAGCCCCGGGCUCAACCUGGGAACGGCAUCCGGAACUGUCAGGCUAGAGUGCAGGAGAGGAAGGUAGAAUUCCCGGUGUAGCGGUGAAAUGCGUAGAGAUCGGGAGGAAUACCAGUGGCGAAGGCGGCCUUCUGGACUGACACUGACGCUGAGGUGCGAAAGCGUGGGUAGCAAACAGGAUUAGAUACCCUAGUAGUC
rnacentral:rRNA from 1 species